GCCAUUCGCGGUUCCUCAGCGUCUGUCGGUGUGUGUUAGCCAUCGUUUGAUUCCGGGGCGACCGCAAAUGCCCCCCACGGACACAAACUGUCCUCUGUGGCGCAAUGACUCGUUCCAACGCCGCAGGAGAAGGUCACAGCGCCACCCUGGAGGGAUAUGAGUCGUACUCCUCGCUAAUCUGCACACUGAACACGACGGCAGGGGGAGGACUUGUAAGAAUCAAAUCAACCUUUUAAGGCCGCUUUAUGGGCGAUGCUUGGCUCUAACAAGCGGCUUUUGAAGCGGAUGAAUCUGUAUUAAAAUGCCGGAAUGUGCGCACUGAAGGGAGAAAACCACAGCACUGGAAGAAGAAGACCAAAGAAGGCAUUGAAGGGAGAUCAAAGCUGAGGUCAGGAGAAAUGUUCUGAGGUCCUGUUUCCAUGCCAGUGCAGAAUGAUGCCGCCAAACCGGCUGUGCCAUAGCUGAGUAGCUCAACUUUCCAUCGCUGAUGUUCUCUUUCUUGCUUCUCCCCCUCUAAACCUUCCUGUGUGUGCACCUCGAAAAAAUAUUAACUGUGAAGGCUGUGAUUUGUCAAUUUGUACUCGGACAAUACUUGCUUUGUGUCUGGUUCAGAGUGUGUACGGACUAGGGCUGGGUGAUAAAAUGGUAUUAAUAUAUGUUGCGAUAGACACAAAAUCGAUUAUCAAUAAAAAAAUGCAUUCGAUAAAACGUUCUAUUAUUUUUUUUCUUUUCUUCUUCGAAAGAAACCGGAAGUUGCAAGGCAACCUCUGCUGCGAACACAUCCUGGUUUGGCACCAUCAUUGUCUCAAAGUGUCUCUGUCAAAAAAAGAGAAAAUUGGACGCGGAGUGGACCUCAACCCUCUUGAAAAGGUCUCUCUUUUCAGGAUCCUCGUAUGUGAGUGACCCGGAACAACAGAAAAAGAAGAAUGCAAAGAAUGGUGUCAGUGUCGUCAAAACAAUUUGGUCACGGUAGAAGGUUCCCUCUUAUUUUUUAAUGCCCAGAAACAUGGAAAGUGACACAUUUUAUUGGUUCUGUAUUGAGCAGGUAAACGUCGCUCUUCUUCUUCUUCUUCUUCAACCAUAUCUCCAAACAUUGAAUGGGGAAUAGAGAGAAGGGUUUUCCGCUCACUGUUUUAAUUCCUAUUUUUGAUUUUCAAACACAUUAAUAAAACCGGAUAAUGGUUAAUGAUCCAUUUGACAUUUAAAACAAAAAAACUGGAUUUUUAUGUAAAAUAAUUGUUCUAUUCCAAACGAAAAACGGACGGUCGCAACGUACACUGACCGUAUUUGAUACUGAGAAAAAGGUUUUAUUAUUCAUUAUCUAUUUAACAUUUUAUUCAAUCCCAGAUAGGCUUUGCCUUAAAGUUGAAUGGCUUUGUAGAUACAUUGAGAGAGAGUCUAAGUUCAACAUGUCCAUAGUUGUGUUUUUAAAACUGCACCAAUUUUUUUUUCUUUUAAAUUUUCAACUAACUUGACGUGUUUUGUCAAGAGUAUUAUCUGUGAUAUGAACAUUUUCACAAAGAAAACUAUCUGAAGUUGCCUUUAUUUUUAAGUUAGUAUGUCAUGAUUUUACCCCUUGGAAAUAGAUUGUCCUCCUUGCGGCCCCUGACCUAGGCUUUAUUUGAGACUGAUUCUACCAUGAAUUUAUUAACUUGGACCCCGACUUAAACAAGUUGAAAAACGUAUUCAGGUGUUACCAUUUAGUGGUCAAUUGUACAGAAUAUGUACUGUACUGUGCAAUCUACUAAUACAAGUCUCAAUCAAUCAAUCAAAUCAACAGCACCUCUGCUGGUUACAGCCAAGUAUUAAAUUCCAUUAAGCCUUUCAACUCUCAAGCCAAUUUCCUUUCAAAUAUCUGCCAAAUAGCACAGAAUAGGAACACCAAACUACAAAAUAACAUCCCGUGACCACUCUGAAGAAUGUAAACAGAGGCAGCAUUGUGAUGGUGCUGUUAGCAUUAGCUCCUCCACGCCUCCCUGUUAGCUUGUUAGUUCCAUCCCAUGACUAUGUCAGUCAAAAUAGCCUGCAUUAAAACAACAACAGGGUUUAGAGUUAUGUCACCAACUGCAUUUUUCAGAAGGAAACCGUUGAAAAAUAUCCAACUCUCUAAAAGUUCUCAACCUGCUCUGUUUGUGCAACAUUCCGUAAGGCAUUCCUCUCUUGUUUGUGGGCAUCGUUCUCCCACCGUGACUCAUCGGGAUUCUCCUCAUUCCCUCUUCCUCCGCACCCUCCUCUCACUGCCUUGCUCACAUUCCAGUUGAGAUCCCGAUGUUCUUAAAAAGCCUAG